CCUUCGGGUGGUGAGUAAAGCGGCGAACUGGUGAGUAACAGGUGGGUAACGUGCCCCAAAGCGGGGGAUAACUCGAGGAAACUCGUGCUAAUACCGCAUAUGGCCGUAUGGACUCAGGUCCUAACGGUUAAAGACUUCGGUCACUUUGGGAUCGGCCCGCCCCCGAUUAGCUUGUUGGUGAGGUAAUGGCUCACCAAGGCAUCGAUCGGUAGCUGGUCUGAGAGGAUGGUCAGCCACACUGGGACUGAGAUACGGCCCAGACUCCUACGGGGGGCAGCAGUCUAGAAGCUUCGGCAAUGGGGGAAACCCUGACCGAGCGACGCCGCGUGCGGGAUUGAAGGCCUUCGGGUCGUAAACCGCUGUCAGGAGGGAAGAAUGCCCCGGUGGUGAACCGGGGAGAGACGGUACCUCCAGAGGAAGCCCCGGCUAACUCCGUGCCAGCAGCCGCGGUAAUACGGAGGGGGCAAGCGUUGUUCGGAUUUACUGGGCGUAAAGGGUGUGUAGGCGGCCGCGCAAGUCUGAUGUGAAAUCUCCACCGCUUAACGGGGAGUGGUCAUUGGAAACUGCGUGGCUCGAGUAUGGAAGAGGCGAGCGGAAUUCCUGGUGUAGCGGUGGAAUGUGUAGAUAUCAGGAAGAACACCGGUGGCGAAGGCGGCUCGCUGGGCCAUUACUGACGCUGAGACACGAAAGCGUGGGGAGCGAACGGGAUUAGAUACCCCGGUAGUCCACGCUGUAAACGGUGCGCACUAGUGUGGGGGGUAUCGACCCCUUCCGUGCCGCAGUUAACACAAUAAGUGCGCCGCCUGGGGAGUACGUCGGCAACGAUGAAACUCAAAGGAAUUGACGGGGGCCCGCACAAG
rnacentral:rRNA from 1 species